rnacentral:snRNA from 2 species
GUGAUGGCACGAUAACUGAACAUUGAUCGCCAACAGUUUAGUUUGCACAUCUUUUGAGUGCCAUGCGUCACAACUCUAAUGGUAGUCUUUCUUCUGUGUCAUCGGUGAUCUCUCGCUGCACGGCGACGGGCUGUACGCACGGUUGAUGUC